rnacentral:rRNA from 1 species
AUUGAACGCUGGCGGCAGGCCUAACACAUGCAAGUCGAGCGAGCGGCGGACGGGUGAGUAAUGCAUGGGGACUGCCCGAUAGAGGGGGAUAACUACUGGAAACGGUGGCUAAUUCCGCAUACUAUCGGAUAACCCAUAUGGGAUUAGCUAGUAGGUGGGGUAAAGGCUCACCUAGGCGACGACCUGUAGCUGGUCUGAGAGGAUGACCAGCCACUCUGGGCCGAAGCCACGGCCCAGACUCCUCCGGAGUCAUCAGUGGGGAAUAUUCGACAAGGGGCGAAGGCCUGAUGCAGCCAUGCCGCGUGUAUGAAGAAGGCCUUAGGGUUGUAAAGUACUUUCAGCGGGGAGGCGUUACCCGCAGAAGAAGCACCGGCUAACUCCGUGCCAGCAGCCGCGGUAAUUC